GUUUUGCGUGAUGGAUCCCUGCUCAGGGCAGCGACAUCAUAUCAUCCGCGUCUCUUCAUUUGUUGGUGCGAGCACGUCCUCGCCCGUCGUCGGUUUUCCUGUGCUGAAUACMUSUAUCGAUGGCAAUACGUCGGUUGAAUUGUYCCUUUCUCGCCUUGUGCUGCUGUCCCUUGCGGGCAAGCGGCGYGGGGUGGGCYUGAAUAGCGCAYGCYGUGYGUCCCAUCCUGUUYGSCCCUAWUAAGGUCGUUCGGGAUGWCGAUSCWCRGCUUGUUGCUCGGAUUCGUGGGUACGGAACAUUGUGCKGGUAYUCGUUGGCCUYGGCCUCCGAGCACCACGAACAAGCGUUCCACGCUUCUUGCGAACGACUGUCGGUUCGGCCUCUGGCUCGGGCUCUCGUGGCUCGGUUUCGAGCCGUGCCGACGUCGAUGAGGGAUGCUACCU
rnacentral:misc_RNA from 1 species